rnacentral:rRNA from 1 species
UACGAGGGGGGCUAGCGUUGUUCGGAAUUACUGGGCGUAAAGGGCGCGUAGGCGGCGAGAUACGUCAGGUGUGAAAGUCCUGGGCUUAACCGGGGGAUUGCAUUUGAUACGGUUUGGCUAGAGGGCGAGAGAGGGUAGUGGAAUUGUGUGUGUAGAGGUGAAAUUCGUAGAGAUACACAAGAACACCAGUGGCGAAGGCGGCUACCUGGCUCGUACCAGACGCUAAGGCGCGAAAGCGUGGGGAGCAAACAGG